rnacentral:lncRNA from 1 species
CAGAAAUACCUAUUCAACACCAAGUGGUAAUUCAGUAAUUGUCAUGUAGUUUGCGGAAGUUCAAUCAGGAAGGCUGGUCUGAAUGCUCGUUUAACAUCAUCCAGUAAACAUAACAUAAUUCACUUUGUUUCCUAUUCUACGGGCUUAGUGGGAAGGCAUACAAAUGAUCAUCUUGUCUAUUCUCCUCCUUCCUAUUAGCCAUGUGCGGAAUGUCAUUCACCUAUUUACCCUAUAGCCUAUAAGCACGGCACAAUUAUGCACAUUCCGCACGCUUGCGGUUUAACAUAUGGGCUCACUCUUGCAAUUAUCACCUUCCUCUCGCUCAACCAAUGGGCAUAAAUCUUGGGAUGUAUUUAUAUGUCAAUUUACCCUCGUUCUCUCACUAACUGUUUUUCAGCAAAUGUUUUUGACAACCGUCCACCUCCACACCACCCCCAGCUAUAAUAACCUUAAGGUCCGUCAUUGGAACUCCUUUCCCCCUGGGGGGUGUUUUGAUACCAGCAGCCCCCCAUAGUGCUGUAUUCUGUAUUCUGGUCUAUGAGGGCCUAUUAACUAACGUCUGGAUUCCAUCAGUAUGGCGGAAGAGCCGCGUAAAGAUUUCAAGGUGUCCUGGAGGGCGGGCAGUGUGCCCUCGGUGAUGCGUUGGGCAGACCGCAACACCCUCUGGAGAGCCCUGCGGUUGCUGGAGGUGCAGUUGCCGUACCAGGCAGUGAUACAUAGCCUAUAACGCGGAUCUUCCCCGAUACUUCUGCCCUAAGUCUAUGUUUUAUUGACUUAAGUCCGUGUUAAGUCUACUUAUCUUAAGUCUGAAUCGGGCUCUGGGUGCAUAUACUUCCCAACAAAGACUGAUAGGAGUGGAACCCGGUGUGGUCGUCUGCUGCAAUAGCCCAUCCGUGACAACAAACCGACUAGUUGUGCAUUCCGGGAUGUCGUUCUGCACACCACUGUUGUACUGCACUGUUAUUUGCCUGUUUGUGGCCAGCCUAUUUGUGGCCCACUGACAAUACUGCCACAAC